rnacentral:rRNA from 1 species
UAAGAAAGGCUUCGGCCUGGACGAUUUUAUUCUUAGCGGCGGACGGGUGAGUAACGCGUGGGUAAUCUACCUUGUACAGGGGGAUAACGUAUAGAAAUGUACGCUAAUACCGCAUAAGCGCACAGCUUCGCAUGAAGCAGUGUGAAAAACUCCGGUGGUACAAGAUGGACCCGCGUCUGAUUAGCUGGUUGGUGAGGUAACGGCCUACCAAGGCGACGAUCAGUAGCCGGUCUGAGAGGAUGAACGGCCACACUGGAACUGAGACACGGUCCAAACUCC